CGAGGGCAACUUAGACGACGAGCAACGGAUUCCGAAGAGAGCGACGAGAGGGAGAGGGAGAGAGAGAGAGGAGAUUCCAUUCGCAGCUCUCGUUUCAAUUCUUCUCCACUGUUACAAGCCGAACUCAAAAACCCUAGAAGAAGCCAUCCCGAUGGCCGCCGUGCAAGAUCUCGACCUCCCGUUAGCUCCGGAUGCGCCUCCAUCCGCCGCCUCCUUGCCCCCUUCCGGCCGGACUCGGCGAUCUGUGCACCAUGCCCUCGGCGGCGGCGCUGUCGCCGAUGUGCUUCUAUGGAGGCACAGGAACGCGGCGGUUCUCAUGGCGGUCGGUGCCACGACGGUGUGGUUCCUCUUCGAGCGGGCCGGUUACAGCUUCUUGUCCGUCUUUGCGAACGCCAUCCUCCUUCUCGUGCUCAUCCUCUUCUUCUGGGCCAAAUCUGCCUUGCUCCUCAACAGACCUCUUCCGCCCCUUCCUAAUCUCGAGAUUUCGGAUGAGGUAGUAGGUAAGGCUGCCGACAGGGCUCGGGUGUGGAUCAAUCGGGUCUUGGCAAUUGGGCACGACAUAACCAUCCGGAGAGAUAGGAAGGUUUUCCUUCAGGUGCUCCUCUUGCACUUCAUUAGAUGUUCUAGGCUCGGUUUAAAUGUCGCUUGUUUGACUUGCCUUUAUGAUCUGGUGAUUCCUAUGCUCUAUCUCAUCUCAAAGGUCAUUUUGGUUCUGUGGUUCAUCGCCUACAUUGGGAGACUGUUCAACUUCCUUACCCUUGUUUACAUAGGAGUCCUUCUGUCUAGCACACUUCCUGCUUUGUAUGACAAGUAUCAAGAUCAUGUUGAUGAAAAGUUUGGUGUGGCACAUGAUGCGGUCAUGAAGCAGUACGUGAGCAUCUUAAGCCGAAUACAGGCACAACCAACCAAAGAAAAGAAGACUCAAUAACAGAAUCACUGCUAUUCCGGUCCAAUCUUUUGCAUGACAUGCAUCAAAUCCAUUUGGAAGCCUACUUAAAUGACAAUGUUUGGCGUGUCUGCUAAAAUGAAGAUCUGGUGGCAUCCAUAUGCAUCGGCAACCAUUCCUAUCAGCACACUACCAUCACCUGUGUUUAUGGACGUCAAUAUUAAUGAACCAAUUUAUGGUAUUUUCUGGUGGAGCUCUUGUUAUAGUCUUUUCUGGUAUGUUGAUCAAGUUGACUGUGAACUAAAAUGCCUUCUCAGUAAGCUGUGUUAAAAUAUUUCGUGUUAGAGCCAUCUAUGUCGUGGGAUGUUUGAUAAAUUCUUCAAUUUUAGAGCAAUCGAAUGGAGGCAUGAACGUGUGUGCUUGUCUUCAAUACACACUCUGAAUGUAUCAGUCUCAUUCUUAAGUUAAAUUCAUCCCCACCUUUCACAUGUUGCA